rnacentral:rRNA from 1 species
GUCUACAGCCACACCACCCUGAACAAGCCUGAUGUCUGACCUCGGAAGCUAAGCAGGGUAGGGCCUGGUUAGUACUUGGAUGGGAGACCACCUAGGAAGACCAGGUGUUGUAGGCA